CUCCAUUCGGUCUCCAUGCCGAUUUCUUGCAACUCCAUUUCUCCACUGUUUCGAUCGUCAAGCCCUCCAUUUAUCUCUUCAAUUAGCAUGCCAAAUCUAUCCCUUGGAAUCUCGUGGCUCGAACAAAUAUUUUCUUGGUCUCGUUGGCCCAAAUGAAGCUCGAACUUAGCACUCGAUCUCUCGCCAUCAAUCAAUAAAUAUUUGGCGGUUUGGCGCCUAUUUCGGAUCACAUCACUUGGCAUUGGCACUCGCAUUUUCUUUAGGUGCCGUUGUAGCAUUACUUGCAGCUGCAUUUAUAACAAACCAUAAGGUGAGGGCAGGAGUGGUGGUGGUAGCUGUUAUCUUAGCUUUGGUUUCUUUUAGAGUCAUCAGGGCAGUGCUCGGCUGAACACCGGUAGUGAGGUCUUGUCCUAGGGCGAUAGUGGGCGGCUGUAUGGCUAUUGUUAUUACAUUUGGUAAGUGAAUUACCUAAACGGUAAUUGAAUUUUGCAAAAAGUUUUC
rnacentral:lncRNA from 1 species